UACAGAGGUCUCAAGCGUUGUUCGGAUUCAUUGGGCGUAAAGAGCUCGUAGGCGGUUUGUCGCGUCUGCCGUGAAAGUCCGGGGCUCAACUCCGGAUCUGCGGUGGGUACGGGCAGACUAGAGUGAUGUAGGGGAGACUGGAAUUCCUGGUGUAGCGGUGAAAUGCGCAGAUAUCAGGAGGAACACCGGUGGCGAAGGCGGGUCUCUGGGCAGUAACUGACGCUGAGGAGCGAAAGCGUGGGGAGCGAACAGG
rnacentral:rRNA from 1 species